rnacentral:rRNA from 1 species
UCCCAUUAGCUGUUUGGUGGGGUAAAGGCCUACCAAGGCGACGAUCUGUAGCGGGUCUGAGAGGAUGAUCCGCCACACUGGGACUGAGACACGGCCCAGACUCCUACGGGAGGCAGCAGUGGGGAAUAUUGGACAAUGGGCGAAAGCCUGAUCCAGCCAUGCCGCGUGUGUGAAGAAGGCCUUUUGGUUGUAAAGCACUUUAAGCGAGGAGGAGGCUACUUGGAUUAAUACUCUAGGAUAGUGGACGUUACUCGCAGAAUAAGCACCGGCUAACUCUGUGCCAGCAGCCGCGGUAAUACAGAGGGUGCGAGCGUUAAUCGGAUUUACUGGGCGUAAAGCGUGCGUAGGCGGCUUUUUAAGUCGGAUGUGAAAUCCCUGAGCUUAACUUAAGAAUUGCAUUCGAUACUGGGAAGCUAGAGUAUGGGAGAGGAUGGUAGAAUUCCAGGUGUAGCGGUGAAAUGCCUAGACAUCUCGAGGAAUACCUAUGGCGAAGGCACCGUCUGGCCUAAUACUGACGCUGAAGUACCAAAGCAUGUGGAGCAAAAAAGGAUUAGAUACCCUGGUAGUCCAUGCCGUAAACGAUGUCUACUAGCCGUUGGGGCCUUUGAGGCUUUUAGUGGCGCAGCUAACGCGAUAAGUCGGCCGCAUGGGUAUC